UACGUAGGGGGCAAGCGUUGUCCGGAAUUAUUGGGCGUAAAGGGCGCGCAGGCGGCCUCUUAAGUCUGAUGUGAAAUCUUGUGGCUUAACCACAAGCGGUCAUUGGAAACUGAGAAGCUUGAGUGCAGAAGAGGAGAGUGGAAUUCCACGUGUAGCGGUGAAAUGCGUAGAGAUGUGGAGGAACACCAGUGGCGAAGGCGACUCUCUGGUCUGUAACUGACGCUGAGGCGCGAAAGCGUGGGGAGCGAACAGG
rnacentral:rRNA from 1 species